rnacentral:rRNA from 1 species
GAUGAACGCUAGCGGCAGGCCUAACACAUGCAAGUCGAGGGGUAGACAUCUUCGGAUGUUGAGACCGGCGCACGGGUGCGUAACGCGUAUGCAAUCUACCUUAUACUAAGGGAUAGCCCAGAGAAAUUUGGAUUAAUACCUUAUGGUUAAUAAAGCCGGCAUCGGUUUAAUUAUAAAGAUUUAUUGGUAUAAGAUGAGCAUGCGUCCCAUUAGUUAGUUGGUAAGGUAACGGCUUACCAAGACGAUGAUGGGUAGGGGUCCUGAGAGGGGGAUCCCCCACACUGGUACUGAGACACGGACCAGACUCCUACGGGAGGCAGCAGUGAGGAAUAUUGGUCAAUGGACGGAAGUCUGAACCAGCCAUGCCGCGUGCAGGAUGAAGCAUCUAUGGUGUGUAAACUGCUUCUGUACGGGAAGAAAAAAAGCUACGUGUAGUUUACUGACGGUACCGUAAGAAUAAGGAUCGGCUAACUCCGUGCCAGCAGCCGCCGUAA